AGCCCACCUCACGAUGAUACGAUGUUUGGCUAGCAACAAUAAUAAUGAGAGGGUACAAGUACCCAUUCACAACAACCUCUUGUGAUUACCCAUCUUUUUGGCCUCUAGAAAAUAAUACCUCAUGAUGAUACGAUGUUGGCAUUAUGUUUCUUAGUUAAGUUCUUUCCCACCAUGCCGGUUUAGCUAGGGGUUCAAGCAUGACCUCACGAUGAUACGAUGUUGGUCAUACUCGUUGCCUACCUUAACCUCAUCAAAUGUUUUAAAUAAACUCCUCCUGAAUAUAAGCAUGCACUUUGUCACUUCCCCAUGAUAGGGUGAAGGCGGUGUACAAGUCAUAAACGCUUGGAGCCUACCACGGUGGAAGGCCACGAAAAAGUGUUCUAAGCACUCUUACGCUUUCAACUUAAUAUUUGGUUGGUUGAGGGAUUUUAAGGUCUCAUCAAUUUUAUUUAUUUAAUCACAAUCAAAUAAAUUGUCCUAUUAUAACUACUAGUCCAAAGUUAAUGAAAUUAGUAGCAUAUAAUAUCCCCACUAUUCGUUUUCAUAAAACAAAUCAAUAUCAAAACAUUUUUCAAAAUAUUGGAGAUAUAUAUAACAACUAAUUGUAUUCAUUAUAGUCUAGUAGCGUAUGAUGCUCCCACUAUUUUUUUUGAGAAAAACAAAUUAAUAUCAAAAACGAAUUUUUCAAAUAUUGGAAGUAACUACUACUACUAAGGUUUUUGCAUUCCUUACGAUUUGAACUUUAUAGUUAUCUUAGGCUCUUGGAUGACUAUGGACUUAUUAGGUUAUUGCAACAACGAGCCAUCAUUGUUGAAUAUAAACUCGGGGAGGUUGUGUCAAUUUAAUUACGUGCUUAUCAAUCCAAUUAAAACCAUUUUCAUUGAGCCAUUAGAAAUGAAAGACAAUCAUUCAUUGCUAAUUUGGGCAUUGGACCCUUUUAAUCUUUAAUCUCGUGUCAAAACCCUCUUUUAAUUAUGUCUCCUUACCAAUAGUUAAAGAAACUCUAGUCUAGCACUAGAGGGAAUCAACUAACAAAUAGAGAUUAAGAAGUAAUAAGAAUUACAAACCGAUUUGUACAAAUUCCUAUAAAUUACAUAUACUAAAAGGGGAGAGAUAGAUUAACGUCAAACGUGACAAGGUCCAAUUAAACAGUAAUUAAAACACAUUCCCAAGGUUCAAACAAUUUGAUUUUAGCGCCUUAUCAUGUAGCUCAAUUAUCGUUUAAGGCAUAAGUCCAAAGUCAUCCAUUUCAUAACUACUUAAACACAUUUAAAUAAUCAUAAUGGAAUGCAACAUAAACAUUUAGAUUUAGUGCAUAUGGGCAUAAUAUAAUUAUGAGUUUAAACAACUAACAAAAUUAAAAUCAAAUAUUUUAACUUUCUAGUUAGUAGGGGCCUAAAUGUAAAUAUGAAAAGUUAGGGGUAAAACCGUAAAUACUCAAAAGUAUAAAAUAUCAACUUUUCAAAGAUUACAAAAGACCCCCCAAGUGGACAAAUCCACUAGGGUGGCCGGCCAUUUGAUGGGGGAUGGGAAGUCUCACCCAUCAAGCUUUAAUUCAAUGCAAAGAAGAAAAAAUCCAAAUUUGCUUGUCACUUGGUUUUGGCAUUAAAUGGCUUUAAUGAAAAAUUUGAUGGAAAUCUCCUAGACAAGUCUAGGGUUUUAAUAAGUUUUAAUAUAGUUAUGGAUGGUAAGAACAUCACCCAAAACCAUAAAACCAUGCAUGAAAACCAAAUAAAACCAUUUUCACCCAAAACCAAACUAUGAACACCAAGAACAAAACCAUGAACACUUUUUCAAGAUUUGUGUAUUCUUGGUGAUUUUUCAAACCCAAAAACAAAAGUGACAAGAACACUUCUUUCAAGCUUUAAAAGGAUGUGUGAGUGGUUUACAAUAAAACACAAACACAACCCAAAACCACCCCCAAAACCGUGCCAUCCCUUUGGUUCAAAACCCCAAAUGUUGUUCAUGACUUAUUCUUCAUUCAUGCAUACAAAACAACUUUUACAUGCAUAUCUUUUUCAACUCUUGAUUUACAUUUUUCAACCAUUGAAAAAACAAAAGACAAACAUACUUUUAAAUGAAGAAAUAAUAUGUCAUACUAGUUAUAAACUCAUUUUUCAUUCAUGCAUACAAAACACUUUUGCAAACAUAUCUUUCUCAACUUUUGACUAACAUUUUUCAACUAUUGAAAAACAAAAGAUAAACAUACUUUGAAUGAAACAAUAAUAUGUCAUACAUAACAUUAAUACCCAUAUGCAUAAAAUCUAAAAGGACACAUUAUACAUAAACCAUUGGCUCUGAUACCACUUGAAGGGAAAUUUAUGAGAUUCUAGCAAGGGAUUUCAUAAUGACUAUCAUGCAUAUACAAAUCAAAUUUAAUAUACGAAAGCAGCGGAAGCAUUUAUAACAAUUUAUCAAAGCUAUAGUCAUGCAAAUCCCCUUCAAGGUUCAUAGGUUUAUAUAUAAUGCAUCAAAACAA
rnacentral:lncRNA from 1 species